UUGAUUUUUAUCUUCUGGAGGGCCUCGACUAGAAGACCAACCGAUGGAGCUUUUAGGUCUAUGGGAAGACGGAUCUGGUGGUUUCCUUUAUACCGAAAAAGGGUUUCCCCCCGCUUUGUAUACAAAGCAACCAACCGGGUCAUACAGGGAGGUGGUUUCCUUUAUAUUCCGACAAGUAUAUGUAUAUCUGAGCUUGUUCCCGGAUUGGGUUGCUGCUGGAUCUGGAUGUGAUGUGAUGUUGCGCCUGAUGGUUAUUGGUUUUGCUGGCCCUUAACUGAUUUUGUAUUCAAGUGCCGUCUUUGAAACGCCAAGUCCUGCUUCUCCGUGAGUGCCUGAUGGGUCCUUUUAACUUGUUUUGUAUUCAAGUGAUGUCUGUCUCUUUUGAAACACUGUAGGAGAUGUGCAUUUCCACUGUAGGGGAUUUGCUCUAACCAAUUCCUUUCCUUUGAAGUGGCAACUCAAGGAAGCUGAGGAGGACGAAGAUGAUGAGGAUGGCGAACAAGGGUAGAGUCGAGAGGAAUGCAUCUUGCUGCAAUUUGGU
rnacentral:lncRNA from 1 species